rnacentral:rRNA from 1 species
AUUGAACGCUGGCGGCAGGCCUAACACAUGCAAGUCGAGCGGGUGAAGGGAGCUUGCUCCCUGAUUCAGCGGCGGACGGGUGAGUAAUGCCUAGGAAUCUGCCUGGUAGUGGGGGACAACGUCUCGAAAGGGACGCUAAUACCGCAUACGUCCUACGGGAGAAAGUGGGGGAUCUUCGGACCUCACGCUAUCAGAUGAGCCUAGGUCGGAUUAGCUAGUUGGUGGGGUAAAGGCUCACCAAGGCGACGGUCCGUAACUGGUCUGAGAGGAUGAUCAGUCACAAUGGAACUGAGACACGGUCCAGACUCAUACGAGAGGCAGCAGUGGGGAAUAUUGGACAAUGGGCGAAAGCCUGAUCCAGCCAUGCCGCGUGUAUGAAGAAGGUCUUCGGAUUGUAAAGCACUUUAAGUUGGGAGGAAGGGUUGCUGAUUAAUACUCUGCAAUUUUGACGUUACCGACAGAAUAAGCACCGGCUAACUCUGUGCCAGCCGCCGCCGUAAAAC